rnacentral:lncRNA from 1 species
AAUAUUCACUUGGUUCUGAACUGGUUUGGACAAUUGGUGUCACGGCAAACAUCCAAUGCGAAUCUGAAGGAGCAGUGGGAUGACUGAUUGAAACAAAAACUCAUCCAUCCGGUACAUACAACUGCAGGCGUUUGAAUUCAGUCACACGUCUACCGACCUGCAUGCCAGAUGCCAUCUACAUCAUACUCCAGCGAAUCAAAACCAAGUCCCGUCUGAAAUGAUCAAAGGAGAUGCUUUCAUCUCGCCCCGGGAGCUCCCUGUCAAAGCACAGGACAAGCAGAGGCUCCUGACAUGUAGAAAACCAUCACGAAUCCACGUAGACACAUGGAUGGACGGGGCUGGAACUGGAAGCUGGCCGCUGGAAGGGUACGAACUCUCCUGAACGGAGCCUCGGCGCACGCAGCUUGGAAAUGGAACCAGGGGGACAGUGGGUGAUGGAGUUAGUAUACCACGGUGUACUAUACUACUAGCUCCAACAGAAAUUGACAUUAUUAUUCCUUCCUACUACGUGCUACUGUCACUGUAACUGCUGCAUCUUAUUCGUUGCAGACAUCUGUCAACUGUCAUCUUCUACAGAAGAAAAAGAAAUUGUAUGUAACAUUCUAUCAAGGUGAGGUGAGUGACCUCCACUCGCACUUGUCUUGGCAUUUUCUAUGUCCUCCUUUUUGCUUGCUCGCUCGCUGCACAGCUUCCUCUCUCUUCCCUGCACCACCCUUGGUGAAAGUUGGACUAAACCCCAACAUGUCAAUUUCCCGUGACCGUUUUUUUCUAUUUAGAUUUGAAAAAGGGAAGUCGAGUCUCGCUGCCACUGUGGCCCCACAUGACAGAACACCCCAGGCUAGAUAGAUGGCUGAACGGAAACUGAAGAAGCUAGCCAGUCCAGCUGCUCGCUCGCCCAUGGCUGAGAGAAUCCGGUAUCAAUCAGCUGCUCACUCCGUUCCAUAUUAAAUGUUAGGGCGGAGGGAACAGAUCUUUCUUUUUCUUUUAUAUCAGUGUCUUCAUAAAAGGGCAUGCGAUCCCUACGGAUGCAGCAUAGUACCACGUGCGUAGGACAAAUUUUGGCGUCAGUAAAACAAAAUGUGACAUGACCACAUUGGUAUGGUUUCGUCGUAGGGAUCCAUUGAUGCACAUGUGAUUCAUUCACGUAUCAGUUGGUAUACCGACUACGCAUAAAUUUCAUCACUACGAAACGGAAGCAUAUUUUGGGAGUAUUCUGUAGUCUGUAGUCUGUACUGCUUGCAUGCUGGAUUCGGGGUAGCAGCCAGCCAGAUACCGUCAUGGACUGGCAUUUGCUGCUAGCUAAAUGGUAAUCCUGUUGUUUCCUGACUUUCUUCACGAAGUAUAAAUGACCACGCAUGCAUGCUGCAGGGCUCACGAGCCACGCCACGCAC